rnacentral:rRNA from 1 species
AGCGAACGCUGGCGGCAGGCCUAACACAUGCAAGUCGAACGAAGUCUUCGGACUUAGUGGCGGACGGGUGAGUAACACGUGGGAACGUACCUUUUGGUUCGGAACAACUCAGGGAAACUUGAGCUAAUACCGGAUGAGCCCUUAGGGGGAAAGAUUUAUCGCCGAAAGAGCGGCCCGCGUUAGAUUAGCUAGUUGGUGAGGUAAAGGCUCACCAAGGCUACGAUCUAUAGCUGGUCUGAGAGGCUGACCAGUCACUCUUGGACCGAGACACGUCCCAUACUCCCACGGUUGGUAUCAGUGGGGAAUCUUGCGCAAUGGGCGACAGCUCUACGCAGCUCUUCCGCGUGAAUGAUGAAGGUCUUAGGAUUGUAAAAUUCUUUUACCAGGGACGAUAAUGACGGUACCUGGAGAAAAAGCCCCGGCUAACUUCGUGCCAGCAGCCGCAGUAACAC